rnacentral:piRNA from 1 species
UUGUAGAUGACGUGGGAUCCGGUCCCUCA